UGGCACCAAUUUCAUUAGGAAUCAAAUGCUCAGCGUUUCUCACGUACGCUUUUAAUCCUUUGGCUGCCUCUUUUCCCUCGAAAGACCAAGAAUUAAAUAGAUCAGAUGAUAUGGAGAAGACACCCCGCCUUGGUCUGGCCCGCCUCCAUCCUGGCCCCUGGGCAUCUGGGUUCCCGGGGUAACCGGAAUCAAACCAGGGCCGGAUCCCCGAGGCCCGCGGCAUCUCGACGGCUUAGCGGGGCCAGUGAGCGAUCGAGGUUUGUUGGCCGCCGCGGAGCUUCCUGAGCCCCGGCCCCCCGCCUCCGCCGACCAAAGGUUUGCCAGUAGGACCCGCCCGGAGACAAUAGCUGCCCCCGCGGGCGCGCUGUCGGCUUGUUUGGAAAGCCCAGAGACGCUUCGAGGUAAAAAGAUGUUUCUCUUCUUUCCCGUCUUCCUCUCAAGACCCUCGGGGCUGGCCCGGCGCGGGGGCUCACGCUUGUAAUCCCAGCACUUUGGGAGGCCGAGGCGGGUGGAUCACUUGAGCCCCGGAGUUGGAGACCAUCCUGGGCGAAAUGGCAAAACCCCGUCUCUACAAAAAUACAAAAAUUAGCCGGGAAUGGUGGUGUGCACCUGUGGUCCCAGCUACUCUGGAGACUGAGGUGGAGAAUCGCUUGAACCUGAGAGGCAGAGGUUGCAGUGAACGGAGAUUAUGCCACUGUACUCCAGCCUGAGCAACAGAGCGAGACCCUGUCUCAAAAAACAAACAAACAAAAAACGAACAACAACAACAACAACAAAAACAAAACACAAACCCAAAAAACAAAAUACAAACAAACAAAAGAACUGCACUCCAGCCUGAGCGACAGAGUCAGACCCUGUCUCAAAAAAAAAAAACAAAAAAAGAAAGAAAAGAAAAAGAAAAAUCUCUGGGAAUUGCAUUCAUCCCACUUCUUCCAUGCUUUUCUGGAUUCUUGCAAUAACCAAGGGACUGACAACUGUCAAGCCUGAGUGCCUGGGACCCAAUUCUGCUUAGGCCACACCCAGUAAGUCCUUCUCUUUAUCCAGCUGAGAUCUUAAAGCUCAGUUCAUUCCAGCCCAACCAGCCAAUGGCCACUCUUUCUUCACCUCUUCUCCACGGUGGACAGAGUAUGAAGCCUCCUCUACCCCUGAAUGGAGAAACAGAAGCAGGCAGGAAGAAGGGAAAACACAGACUUUAUUGAAAUGAGGUAGUUGCAGGUACAAAGCGAACCCCGGCUCACUUGGGGCUCAGGUUUCCAGAAACUUGGAUGGCUCCUCCUCUUUCUCCAAGGUUCAGAUAAAUCCUUGCAGCUGUUGGGAGCCCUCACUGUGCCUGGCUCUCCCUGGGCUGCCCCCAGGGGUAGGGGUGGAGAUGGGGAAGAGGGUCCUGGGUUUUCCAGGAGGCAAUAAAUAGGGGAGGAGCUAGUGGGGGCGUGCCUGUACCUUCCUGGUUGUGGCUUGCUGGGGGCAGGACUUGCACAGCGUUCCAGAAGUCUCUGGAAUACCAAGUUCCAAAACACUUUGGUGACAUAGUGAUGAGGUCGCUGGUGUGAGGAGGCAGGUCUCAGAAAACAACCUCUGGAGGCUGCAUUAGUGCAAUAUAAAUGUGCCAGGAGAGGGCUAAUGGGGUUAGAUGGGGGCGGGGGCUUUUUGGUCUGUCACAAGGCAGCUGGUGCUAUUGUAAGGUCUGUGGUGACUGGAUUAAGCAUUGAUAAUAAUAUGGCUGCACCCAAACACUUCCCACACAAGAAAAUUUAAGGUUCUGUCUCAGGCCUAGAAUGGGGGAGUUAGGAUAAGAGUGCGUGAGGAGACUCCUCAAAGCUCGGAAGGCACUGAACUGAAUAAACAGAAGUUGGAAGGGAAAGGAGAAUGAAUCCAGGAGGAUGAGGCUGGCCCCCACCCCCACCUCAUGUUGACACUGAGUUGAUCCCCAGAUCAAAGGCAGAAGCCCUUCCCUCUACCUUUGACAGGUUCCAUGCCUCCCAGGCCACUGGUCGUGUAGGGCCCCCAGUCACCCAGGUCUGAGAAAAAUGUUUCCCCAUCCCCCCUCCUACUCCCAGGCAGCUCUAAACUGGCAUUUCAGCCCUAGA
rnacentral:lncRNA from 1 species